AAAUAGACUGAGAUGAUUGCUACUUUUAGCGUAAGGCUAAUCGUAGAGGAAAGUCCGAACACCACAAAAAAAGGUAGUUGGUAACACCAACCGCUCCAAACGCAAGUUUGGCAGUAGGACAAGUGCAACAGAGAAUAUUCCUUCCCGCUUUGCGGGAUAAGGGUGAAAAUGUCGAAUAAUCAGUCGACACGUUUAUAUGGUGACAUAUAGAAAGAGGUAAACUUCUAUCUGGUGUAAGGCCAAAUAGAGCGGCGAAGGCCGCUGGGUAGGCUGCUUGAGGUUGUAAGCAAUUACAAUCCUAGAUAGAUGAUCAUCGUUUCAGUUUUACUGAAAUUACAGAAUUCGGCUUAUGAGGUCUAUUUAGAC
rnacentral:RNase_P_RNA from 4 species